rnacentral:lncRNA from 1 species
CCCCCGGGAUGAGCCUUGCUGCAAGCCAAACGUAAACACAGCAAAGACUCACGAACGUGACGUUGCACUGGUAUUUAUUUCAAAUUACCGGAAGUAAAUCUUCUAAGCAGGAAGAAAAACAUAACGUAAUAUGCUUUCAUAAAAUAUAGGAGUCCUCGACUCAAAAUGCUUAUAAUAAUACAAUCUUAUGAAUAAUCAAAUCUAGACAUAUUAAUUCUUCCAGUUAAGAGCUC